rnacentral:rRNA from 1 species
AGAGUUUGAUCCUGGCUCAGAAUCAACGCUGGCGGCGCGCUUAACACAUGCAAGUCGCACGAGAAAGUGGAGCAAUCCAUGAGUACAGUGGCGUCCGGGUGAGUAACACGUGGAUCAUCUACCUCUUAGUGGGGAAUAACCCUGGGAAACCGGGGCUAAUACCGCAUAAGCUCGAGAGAGGAAAGCAGCAAUGCGCUGAGAGAGGAGUCCGCGGCCGAUUAGCUAGUUGGCAGGGUAAACGCCUACCAAGGCAAAGAUCGGUAGCCGGCCUGAGAGGGCACACGGCCACACUGGCACUGAAACACGGGCCAGACUCCUACGGGAGGCAGCAGUGGGGAAUCUUGCACAAUGGGGGAAACCCUGAUGCAGCGACGCCGCGUGAGCGAUGAAUCCCUUCGGGGUGUAAAGCUCUUUCGGCAGGGACGAUUAUGACGGUACCUGCAGAAGCAGCUGCAGCUAACUACGUGCCAACAGCCGCGGUGAUACGUACGCGGCGAGCGUUGUUCUGAGUUACUGGGCGUAAAGGGUGUGUAGGCUGUU